rnacentral:rRNA from 1 species
AGCGAACGCUGGCGGCGUGCCUAACACAUGCAAGUCGAACGUGAAAUGUAGCAAUACAAAGUAAAGUGGCGUACGGGUGAGUAACGCGUAGGUAAUCUACCCCAAAAUCUGGAAUAACCGGCCGAAAGGCUGGCUAAUACUGGAUAGAGCGAUGAAAUCCGUAAUUGGGUUUUUCGGGAAAGGGAGCUCGUAAGAGCCUUCGUUUUGGGAUGAGCCUGCGUCUCAUUAGCUAGUUGGUAAGGUAAAAGCUUACCAAGGCAUUGAUGGGUAGCUGGUCUGAGAGGAUGAUCAGCCACACUGGAACUGAAACACGGUCCAGACUCCUACGGGAGGCAG